CCUACGGGGGGCAGCAGUCGAGAAUCAUUCACAAUGGGGGAAACCCUGAUGGUGCGACGCCGCGUGGGGGAAUGAAGGUCUUCGGAUUGUAAACCCCUGUCAUGUGGGAGCAAAUUAAAAAGAUAGUACCACAAGAGGAAGAGACGGCUAACUCUGUGCCAGCAGCCGCGGUAAUACAGAGGUCUCAAGCGUUGUUCGGAAUCACUGGGCGGAAAGCGUGCGUAGGCUGUUUCGUAAGUCGUGUGUGAAAGGCGCGGGCUCAACCCGCGGACGGCACAUGAUACUGCGAGACUAGAGUAAUGGAGGGGGAACCGGAAUUCUCGGUGUAGCAGUGAAAUGCGUAGAUAUCGAGAGGAACACUCGUGGCGAAGGCGGGUUCCUGGACAUUAACUGACGCUGAGGCACGAAGGCCAGGGGAGCGAAAGGGAUUAGAUACCCCAGUAGUC
rnacentral:rRNA from 1 species